UACGUAGGUGACAAGCGUUAUCCGGAAUUAUUGGGCGUAAAGAGCUCGUAGGCGGUUUGUCGCGUCUGCCGUGAAAGUCCGGGGCUCAACUCCGGAUCUGCGGUGGGUACGGGCAGACUAGAGUGAUGUAGGGGAGACUGGAAUUCCUGGUGUAGCGGUGAAAUGCGCAGAUAUCGUCAAGAACACCAAUAGUGAAGACAGCUUACUGGGCUUAAACUGACGCUGAGGCACGAAAGUGUGGGGAUCAAACAGG
rnacentral:rRNA from 1 species